GCAAGUCAAGGGGAAAGCUACUUUCGGGUAGUGAUUAUACUGGCGCACGGGUGAGUACAAUGUAAAUAAUCUACCUCUUAGAGGGGGAUAACGUCGAGAAAUUGGCGCUAAUACCGCGUAAAACUUUUGUGGGGCAUCCCAGUGAAAGUUAAAGCUGCUUUAAUGUAGUACUAAGAGAUGAGUUUGCAGAUGAUUAGCUAGUUGGUGAGGUAAGAGCUCACCAAGGCAUUGAUCAUUAGCUGGUCUGAGAGGAUGAUC
rnacentral:rRNA from 1 species